AUUGAACGCUGGCGGCAGGCCUAACACAUGCAAGUCGAGCGAGCGGCGGACGGGUGAGUAAUGUCUGGGAAACUGCCUGAUGGAGGGGGAUAACUACUGGAAACGGUAGCUACUACCGCAUACCAUCAGACGUGCCCAGAUGGGAUUGGCUGGUAGGUGGGGUAACGGCUCACCUAGGCGACGAUCCCUAGCUGGUCUGAGCGGAUGACCAGCCACACUGGAACAUGUACACGGUCCAGACUCCUACGUGAGGCAGCAUGGGGGGAUAUUGCACAAUUUGCGCAAGCCUGAUGCAGCCAUGCCGCGUGUGUGAAGAAGUCCUUCGUGUUGUAAAGCACUUUCAGCGGGGAGGCGUUACCCGCAGGAGGAGCACCGGCUAACUCCGUGCGAGCAGCCGCGGUAAUAC
rnacentral:rRNA from 1 species